UACGGAGGGGGCAAGCGUUGUUCGGAUUUACUGGGCGUAAAGGGUGUGUAGGCGGCCAUGCAAGUCUGAUGUGAAAUCUUCACCGCUCAACGGGAAGAGGUCAUUGGAAACUGCGUGGCUUGAGUAUGGUAGAGGCGAGCGGAAUUCCUGGUGUAGCGGUGGAAUGUGUAGAUAUCAGGAAGAACACCCGUGGCGAAGGCGGCUUGCUGGGCCAUUACUGACGCUGAGACACGAAAGCGUGGGGAGCGAACGGG
rnacentral:misc_RNA from 1 species